AUUGAACGCUGGCGGCAGGCCUAACACAUGCAAGUCGAGCGAGCGGCGGACGGGUUAGUAAUGUAUGGGGAUCUGCCUGAUGGAUGGGGAUAACUACUGGAAACGAUAGCUACUACCGCAUACCAUCAGAUGAGCCCAGAUGGGAGUAGCUUGUAGGUGAGGUAACGGCUCACCUAGGCGACGAUCCCUAGCUGGUCUGAGAGGAUGAUCAGCCACACUGGGACUGAGACACGGUCCAGACUCCUACGGGAGGCAGCAGUGGGGAAUAUUGCACAAUGGGCGAAAGCCUGAUGCAGCCAUGCCGCGUGUAUGAAGAAGGCCUUCGGGUUGUAAAGUACUUUCAGUCGGGAGGCGUUACCGACAGAAGAAGCACCGGCUAACUCCGUGCCAGCAGCCGCGGUAAUAC
rnacentral:rRNA from 1 species